CCCGUCUCUACUAAAAAUACAAAAAAUUAGCUGGGCCUGGUGGUGUGUGCCUGUAAUCCCAGCUACUCAGGAGGCUGAGGCAGGAGAAUUGCCUGAACCCAGGAGGCAGAGGUUGCGGUGAGCCGAGAUCGCGCCAUUGCACUCCAGCCUGGGUAACAAGAGUGAAACUCUGUCUCAAAAAAAAAAAAAAAAAAAAAGAAUUGCAGAGUAGUUGUAAAAUUACAUUAUAAUUGUGAUACGUAGAAAGACGGCGAGCUAGGCAAAAAAAUUUGGACUAGACCUUAAUGGAUCUUUUUGCUUUGUUUUCCCUCACAAAGUGCAGUCUGCAGGCCAGCAGCAUCAUCUGGAAACUUAGGGAAGAAACCAGAUGUACUGAAUCAGAAACUGGGGAAGUGGCCCAGGCAAUCUUUUACCAGCACCUCCAGGUGAUUAUAAUGCAAGUGUGUGCUCUCAUCUCGGAAAAUUUAAAGAAACCAGUGAUUCUCAUGGUUAAGACAAAGGAUACCUCUUUUACCUCCAUUUUAUGUUUAGUAACAUCAUUAAGGUAAUAAAGGAUUCAUUAUUUGUUUUUAUUUUUAUUUAUUUAUUUAUUUUUGAAAUGGAGUUUCUCUCUUGUGGUUCAGGCUGGAGUGCAAUGGUAUGAUCUCAGCUCACCAAACCUCUGCCUCCUGUGCUCAAGGGGUUCUCCUUCCUCGGCCUCCCAAGUAGCUGGGGCUACAGGCAUAUGCCAUCAGGCCAGGAUAAUUUUGUAUUUUUAGUAGAGAUGGGGUUUCUCCAUGUUGGUCAGGUUGGUCUCAAACUCCUGACCUCAGGUGAUUCACUAGCCUCAGCCUCUUGAAGUGCUGAGAGUCACCGUACCUGGCCGGAUUCAUCAUUUAAAAUCAGAGGGAUCCUUGGUUACCUAAUUAAAGGCAAAAAAGUUUUUGAAUUUAUGUAUUUUAACAGAUGCUCACAUUCAGUUAUCAUCCAAGUUACAGAGAAAGAAAAUUCAACCAUUACCUUUUAAUCUUUUGUGUAGACUCUUCUGGUAAAUUUUGUAUUUUUAACUGGAAGUUGCAAAUUAGGAACUUCUGUUUCAAUUUGUUUUUUUUUUUGUUUUUUUUUUUUUUUUUUUGGUCUUCUCCUUGAAUCCAUAAUUUAGUUUUACUUUUGUUUCUCUUUUUUCUCAUCUCCCUGACUUUUUAUGUUCAUUUUUUUUCAUUAUCUAGACUGCUCAGCAGGAGUCCUUUAUUUCAUAUCUUUUUUUUGUUUGUUUGUUUGUAGACACUUACUACCUUGAAGGGGGUGUUCCUUUUAAGGUGAUUAUAUUUUGAAGUUGUUUAUUCCAGACAACUGUAACUCAGUAACAUCACAAUUCUAUGGGCACUGGAGGGUUACACACUUUCAGAACCCUGAUUGUAGGCUUCAUUGAAAUUGACCACUUCAGCGAGCCACAGGGGUUACUGGCUUCUCCCCAUAAUUCUUUUUCUUCUUUUCUUUGUUUUCCUUUAUAUGUUUUUAUGGUUUUUGUUUGUUUGCUUUUUGUUUUUUGAGACAAGGUCACACUAUGUUGCCCAGGUUGGUCUCAAAGGCUCGGGCUCAAGUGAUCAUCACAGGUAGGAGACACUGUUCCCAGCCAUCUUCUCCCCAUAAUCCUGAAUAUCAGAAUAUUUGCUAUAACACAGGCAUAGACAGCAACAAGAGCAGUAAAGAUGUUUCUAGGGUUUUGUUUUUUUUUUGAGAUGAAGUCUCACUCUUGUUACCCAGGCUGGAGUGCAGUGGCCUGACCUCGGCUCACCGCAACCUCUGCCCCCUGGGUUCAAGUAAUUCUCCUGCCUCAGCCUCCCGAGUAACUGGGAUUACAGGCACACACCACCAUGCCGGGCUAAUUUUUGUAUUUUUAGUAGAGACAGAGUUUCACCAUGUUGACCAAAAUGGUCUCGAUCUGUUGACCUUGCUAUCCAUUCGCGUCGGCCUCCAAAAGUGCUAGGAUUAUAGGCUUGAGCCACCGUGCCCAGCCUUAUUUCUAGGGUUUUAAUUAGCUAUGUGCUCUUAUCAGCAUGAGUCUCAAAUGCCAUUUUUUAAAGUUUAUCUCCACAAACCUCAUGUGUUAUAAACAAUCACCCAUGCAGCAGUGCUGAGAGGUGAAACCUAAUGGGAGGUCUUUAGGUGGCAAGCCUUCCCACCAUGAAAGGAUUCAUGCCAGGCUAAAAAAGAACUUUUGAGAGUAUAUGUCCCCACUCUGCUUUCUAUUUCUUUUCCUUGAGACAGAUUCCUUCUUGUCGCCCAGGUGGGAGUGCAAUGACACAAUCUUGACUCAUUCUCAUUUCUGCUUCUGGGGCUCAAGUGAUACUUUCACUUCAGUUUCCAAAGCAACUGGGACUCCAACCACAUGCCACCAAGUUGGUCUUGAGCUACUGGCCUCAAGUGUAUUGCCUGCCUAGGCCUCCCAAAGUGCGGGCAUUACAAGUAUGAGCCAAUGCACUAAGCUCUGUGCCUCUGCUCUUCAGCCAUGUGAGAAACUCUGUUUUUCCCUCCAGAGACUGCAGCAUUGAAGGCACCAACUUGGAAGCAGGGAUCAGGCACUUGCCAGACACCAAACCUGUCACUGCCUUUACCUUGAACUUCCCAGCUUCCCAAACUGUGAGAAACUGAUUUCUCUUCUUUAUAAAUUACCAAAUCUCAGAUAUUCUCUCAAAUUACAAUAAAAUGGAUUAAUAUAUAAGUAAUUGUAAAUUU
rnacentral:lncRNA from 13 species